UACAUGCAAGUAGAACGCUGAAGAGAGGAGCUUGCUCUUCUUGGAAGAGUUGCGAACGGGUGAGUAACGCGUAGGUAACCUGCCUUGUAGCGGGGGAUAACUAUUGGAAACGAUAGCUAAUACCGCAUAACAAUGGGUGACCCAUGUCAUUCAUUUGAAAGGGGCAACUGCUCCACUACAAGAUGGACCUGCGUUGUAUUAGCUAGUAGGUGAGGUAACGGCUCACCUAGGCGACGAUACAUAGCCGACCUGAGAGGGUGAUCGGCCACACUGGGACUGAGACACGGCCCAGACUCCUACGGGAGGCAGCAGUAGGGAAUCUUCGGCAAUGGGGGCAACCCUGACCGAGCAACGCCGCGUGAGUGAAGAAGGUUUUCGGAUCGUAAAGCUCUGUUGUAAGUCAAGAACGAGUGUGAGAGUGGAAAGUUCACACUGUGACGGUAGCUUACCAGAAAGGGACGGCUAACUACGUGCCAGCAGCCGCGGUAAUACGUAGGUCCCGAGCGUUGUCCGGAUUUAUUGGGCGUAAAGCGAGCGCAGGCGGUUUGAUAAGUCUGAAGUUAAAGGCUGUGGCUCAACCAUAGUUCGCUUUGGAAACUGUCAAACUUGAGUGCAGAAGGGGAGAGUGGAAUUCCAUGUGUAGCGGUGAAAUGCGUAGAUAUAUGGAGGAACACCGGUGGCGAAAGCGGCUCUCUGGUCUGUAACUGACGCUGAGGCUCGAAAGCGUGGGGAGCGAACAGGAUUAGAUACCCUGGUAGUCCACGCCGUAAACGAUGAAUGCUAGGUGUUGGGAGUC
rnacentral:rRNA from 1 species